UCCUGAGUAGCUGGGACUACAGGCAUCCGCCACCACGCCCGGUUUGGUCAUCUGCCUCUGACAGCACAAAAGCCCUAAAUUUAAUACCCUGAAGAGCUAACGUUGAAGUGCAAAAACGAAGGUUGAAACAGCCCGACUCCGAUACACUGAGAAGAACCAGGAUGCACCUGCACUUCUAAUUUUUUUCAAUUUCAGCCCAGAGCCGGGUUCAAGCAUUUCUCAGAAAUUUCCAGCGCACGUUCCCCAUCUGAAGGCUCACACCUGCGGGAGCAGAACACACUCCACACGGGUGCCUCCAGCACACGGAACUUGCGCUCCCGGAAGCUUACGACAUGGUCAUUGUUGAAGUGUUCCCCUCGAAGUAGCUGGGCGUGGUGGCGCGCUCGUGGAGUCCCAGCUACUCGAGAGGCUGAGGUAGGAGCAUCGCUUGAACCCAGGAGGAGGGAGUUGCAGUGAGACGAGAUCGCGCCACUGCACUCCAGCCUGGAUAACAAAGCGAGACUCCGUCUCAAAAAAAAAAAAAAAAAAAAAAAUCCUUAAGGACAGCCCAGAGGCUGGCGACACCUUCACGGGCCCCUCCAUGGAUGCGCCUCUGAGGUCACCGCUCCGGAAGGUCCCAGACUGGCGUGGAAACCUAUUACUAAGUGGGGCGCGUGGACACCGGCAGGUCCCGCUCUAAAGGAGUCCCGCGGAUGCUUGGGCCUCAGUUCCUCUUUCCUGCCCAAGUAUUCCCCCCGCUCUGACGAAACAGGCAACUUCCAGACUGUGGCGUUAGCUCAGCGACUGCGCUGAGCCCCGGGAAAGAACCUGGUCCCGACGGCCAGCUGACCCAGGUUAGUUGCGGAGAUGCUGACUACCCCGCUUCGCUGGCUGCUGCGAGGUCACAUGAGGCCCUCGGUGUGACGUGAGGUCCUCGGGCGCAGCAGGGAGCGUGGCAGCCAACUCUUUCUGCGCGUGCGCGAGCGCGAGCAUCUGCUGUCGUUUAGGCAGAACGGUCGCAAAUCGCACCCUCAGUACUGGCCCGCUUUGCUCUUCUACCUUGCCCUCCUAGUCCGGAUCCAAGAUCCCAAGUAAUCGUCCUACCCCUGCACCGGGGCCGGGACCAGGCAGCCAAGAGCGGCGGAGACAGACUGCUGGGACCGCGACAUCUCCUCUCCUGUUCGCUGCCAUAUGCCCGCGUCGUGUUGAGCGGCCUGCGGACACUGACAGCCUGCCCGGUCCGCUGAGUGUUUGAUCCCCAUCCUCUCAACGCUCUGGAGUGGGCGGUGCAGCCAGUCUUCUUUCAUUCUUAUGAGGCAAGAGAGAGACCCUCUCAUAUUGUUUUAUACUCAGUACCUGUUUAAAAAACAAAACAAAACAAAACAA